rnacentral:rRNA from 1 species
GACAGAGGGUGCAAACGUUGUUCGGAAUUACUGGGCGUAAAGCGCGUGUAGGCGGUUUGAUAAGUCGGAUGUGAAAGCCCCGGGCUCAACCCGGGAAGUGCAAUCGAUACUGUCGAGCUAGAGUAUCGGAGAGGUGGGUGGAAUUCUCGGUGUAGAGGUGAAAUUCGUAGAUAUCGAGAGGAACACCGGUGGCGAAGGCGGCCAACUGGACGAAUACUGACGCUGAGACUCGAAAGCGUGGGGAGCAAACAGG